GAUGAACGCUGGCGGCGUGCCUAAUACAUGCAAGUAGAACGCUGAAGGAAGGAGCUUGCUCUUUCCGGGUGAGUUGCGAACGGGUGAGUAACGCGUAGGUAACCUGCCUGGUAGCGGGGGAUAACUAUUGGAAACGAUAGCUAAUACCGCAUAACAGUAGAUGUUGCAUGAUAUCUACUUAAAAGGUGCAAUUGCACCACUACCAGAUGGACCUGCGUUGUAUUAGCUAGUUGGUGAGGUAACGGCUCACCAAGGCGACGAUACAUAGCCGACCUGAGAGGGUGAUCGGCCACACUGGGACUGAGACACGGCCCAGACUCCUACGGGAGGCAGCAGUAGGGAAUCUUCGGCAAUGGACGGAAGUCUGAACGAGCAACGCCGCGUGAGUGAAGAAGGUUUUCGGAUCGUAAAGCUCUGUUGUAAGAGAAGAACGAGUGUGAGAGUGGAAAGUUCACACUGUGACGGUAUCUUACCAGAAAGGGACGGCUAACUACGUG
rnacentral:rRNA from 1 species